GAGGAGAUCCAGCCACACUGGAACUGAGACACGGUCCAGACUCCUACGGGAGGCAGCAGUGGGGAAUAUUGCACAAUGGGCGCAAGCCUGAUGCAGCCAUGCCGCGUGUAUGAAGAAGGCCUUCGGGUUGUAAAGUACUUUCAGCGAGGAGGAAGGCAU
rnacentral:rRNA from 1 species